AAUGGAGGCAGCCAGCCACGGUAGGCUCAGUGACUGGGGUGAAGUCGUAACAAGGUAGCCGUAGGGGAACCUGCGGCUGGAUCACCUCCUUUCUAAGGA
rnacentral:rRNA from 3 species